UCUAAGUAUAACCUGCCAGACAGGGAAACUGCGUACGGCUCAUUACACCAGCCUUAAUUUACUUGACCUUGACAACUCUACUUGGAUAACUGUGGUAAUUCUAGAGCUAAUACAUGCACCAAAGCUCCGAUCCUCGCGGAGAGGAGCGCAUUUGUUCGCCACAAAACCAAGCGCCCAUCUGGGCGUCCAGUGCUGAACCAGAACAACUCAGCUGAUCGCACGGUCUUGUACCGGCGACGUGUCUUUCAAGUGUCUGCCUUAUCAACUUUCGAUGGUAGUGUACCUGACUACCAUGGUUGUGACGGGUAACGGAGGAUAAGGGUUCGACUCCGGAGAAGGGACCUGAGAAAUGGCCACUACGUCUAAGGAUGGCAGCAGGCGCGCCAAUUACCCACUCUCCACGCGAGGAGGUAGUGACGAGAAAUAACGAGACCGUUCUCAUACGAGGCCGGUUAUUGGAAUGGGUACAAUUUAAA
rnacentral:rRNA from 1 species